UUUUUGCUCUUUGUUAGUGUGCUAUGUAGACUCUGAAGGCUUACCUAUGCGCAACUCCUCUUCUCCCUUUUUGAAAUCUCUGUCUCUCUCUCUCUCCCUUCCCUCCUUCCUUUUUGAAUUGGAUUAUGAAUUCUAUCAUGGCAUCAGAGCAGCCGAUCUUCUUCGUAUUCGCUGAUAGGUGGUCAUUUGGAGCACAAAGCUCUCGCGAACGACGUCGUCGUUCAGCACUGAAGUCGUCGUUGUGGUCGUGACCUUCCUCCCAGCACUGAAGCCGUCAUCGUGGCCGUUCCUCCCUGCAGACGCCGUCGUUGUGGUCGUUCGGAGCUCUUGCAAACAUCGUCGCCGUGCUUCUCCGAAUACUGCAUCUCUGCAAUUCGUCUCCCUCUCGUCUCGUCUCGUCUCUAGUCUCGGUUGGAGUUUUACACCGUGGGUCUUACUUUCAUUUCCCUCUCGUCUCGUCUCUGAUCUGUCAAUCUCAUAUCGGAUGAACAGCUCAUAGAGUCGGAGAUCAAUAAGUCGGCGACUGCAAUCAGAAACAACGUUGUCUGUUGGCAAUCGGAAAUUAGGUGUCGUCUUGUUAGUCGGCCUCAGAUCGAAACAACGUUAUCUGUUUGGAGUUUGUAAUUUUUUGGUUUUCUUUUAUUGUUUUGUAUCUUGUUUAUCAACUACAAUGCAUGAGAAGCCUGCAGGAGAGGGUUCGGAGUAUUGAGAAGACGCUGCAGGAACUAGCAAUCAAUCGGAAUUUCUUUUGUGUUUUAUUGAUAUACAGUGAGGAGUAGAGAAGCUUAUGGUGGAAAAGCGUUGGAGUGAACGUGGGGGGUUUCCUUCUGAUUGGAUGGAUUCAUGUUGGAGCAAUUGUAUAAAUGAAGCAGUGCUUAUACUUACAAUGGCAGCAAUGGGUGUUCAAUGUGGAAUGGAGAUUCGUUGAAUUUGUAGCAACUAAGACUUGCCGCAUCAGCAUUUGCUAGUUCUAGAGGAUUUGGGUUCUGUUUGCUUGAAAUUGUGUGCGGUUUGUAAUAAAUAAGUGCAGUACUAUUUUUUAAGAUGGUUGUUACCGUUGAUGAGUGUAGUUAUUCCAAGCAAAAGGAUCAUUAGAAAGUUCAAUGCUUAUUAUUACUAAGAAAGGGACAACAACAUACUUGGAAAGUUAGGCAUUCUCACACUAUAGCCACUACAUCAUCAGAAGAGUUGUCUCUCACUAUGUCUAAACUAUCUCUUAUUACAGAGCAGUUGCAUAAGCUUCUUUCUACAUCAGAGCCUAAUGGCAUAUAUGUUUCUUCCUCCAUAGUUUUGUUCUCUUCAUCCACUUCAGGAUUCACAUUUCAAGAAGUUGAUUGGGACAGGCCAUAGGAAGGGGGGACUGUAUGUGUUCGAAGAGCUUCGGCUUAAGGAAUUUGUUAGUUCUAGUGUUGACUUGUCUUCUUUUCAUUUGAGUUCCCAUUCUUCUACUUUUUAUUUAUGACAUUCACGUCGACAUGUUUCUAGUUCUCGACUGAAAUUUUUGGCUUCCACAAGUGUCUUAGGAAAUUUAUCCUUUCAUGAUAUUUCUGAUUGUAGUUGUUGUAAGCUUACAAAAUUCUCUACUUUGUUAUUUAAUAAAAGUACAUCAGCGUUUCUUUCA